CCACCUAAGCAACCAAAGCUGAAGCUGCUUGCUGAAGCUGGUGUCUGAUGCUGGCCGCGAGGAACUCCAACUCUAAUUCCUCAAAGUUAACUAAUCAACCACUUUACCUGAAAACCGUGAAGAAAAGGAGCGAAGCUGCUACCGCCCCGAAUAAGCCACAGAGGAAAUUGACGCGGAUACCACCAAGAAAACACCACCAGUCUCUUCUCUGACCUCCUACAGAGAAUCAACACAGAUGCUUCGUGAUUUGGAGGGUGGUGACAGCAUACCACACUGUCAUCCUUACCACGCACAAACCUGUGUUCUUCAGUGAAUGACAGCCUCACAGAAGCCCCCUAAAGGCAACCAGAUACAUGCUGCUUCCCUGACCAAUUACUGAUGUUGGUGUCUCAGAAACUGAAGAACUUUUUGUGUCCCAAACAUCUUUCAGAGAAAUUGUUUAUAGUCUAAAAAUGCUUGAAACUGUUCCCUGUGUAACUACUGACAGUGAUCCUACAAUUUUACUCCAUGACUUUGCUCAAUUUUUGCUCUUAUCUGUGAGACAAAGCAUACCAGAAAUGCCAA